CCUACGGGAGGCAGCAGUGGGGAAUAUUGCACAAUGGGGGAAACCCUGAUGCAGCGACGCCGCGUGAGUGAAGAAGUAUUUCGGUAUGUAAAGCUCUAUCAGCAGGGAAGAAAAUGACGGUACCUGAUUAAGAAGCCCCGGCUAACUACGUGCCAGCAGCCGCGGUAAUACGUAGGGGGGAAGCGUUAUCCGGAUUUACUGGGUGUAAAGGGCGCGUAGACGGCAGCACAAGUCUGGAGUGAAAUGCCGGGGGUUAACCCCGGAACUGCUUUGGAAACUGUGCAGCUAGAGGGCAGGAGAGGUAAGUGGAAUUCCUAGUGUAGCGGUGAAAUGCGUAGAUAUUAGGAGGAACACCAGUGGCGAAGGCGGCUUACUGGACUGUAACUGACGUUGAGGCUCGAAAGCGUGGGGAGCAAACAGGAUUAGAUACCCCAGUAGUC
rnacentral:rRNA from 1 species